rnacentral:ncRNA from 1 species
AGUACGAGAGGACCGGGAUGGACGCACCUCCGGUGCACCAGUUGUUCCGCCAGGAGCACAGCUGGAUAGCCGAGUGCGGUCGUGAUAAACGCUGAAAGCAUCUAAGCGUGAAGCAUGCUUCAAGAUAAGAUAUCCCAUGAUUUCAAAUCAGUAAGGUCACUUGUAGACUACAAGUUUGAUAGGUCGGAGGUGUAAGCACAGUAAUGUGUUCAGCUGACCGAUACUAAUAGACCGAGGGCUUGAACUA